rnacentral:lncRNA from 1 species
CUGAUUUCUUGUACUCCACAACUUCACCCGAGUGAUCUUUUAUCUUCUCUAGUGCUCAAGUGAAUUCUGGAGUCUUCAUUUCUCCCUUGACAUCGUCGUUGUAUAAUCUUUUCUUCCAGGUCUGGAAUUGUGUGGCCAUCUUAUUAAGAACCCAUUUCUUGAGUUUCAACCAUUGUCUAUCUGUGAGAUCGUGUGGUAGGUUGAAAUGUGACAUGACCGUAUCACAAAGCAAUUCUUUCGAUCUUCCGUCGACGUAACUAACUCCUCGAUCUACCUUUAGCCGAUUCCAUUCUCGAAUGGUGAUCGGGAUUUGGUCCCUAACAAUAACUUCGCAUUGAUUUAUAAAUUUACAUGCAUUCUCAGGAGGAGCAAUUGGUUGGCCAUCUUCUAUGACUUGAUCAAUAU